rnacentral:rRNA from 1 species
CUGGAGGUAUCAGAAGUGCGAAUGCUGACAUGAGUAACGACAAAGGGGGUGAAAAACCUCCUCGCCGGAAGACCAAGGGUUCCUGUCCAACGUUAAUCGGGGCAGGGUGAGUCGACCCCUAAGGUGAGGCCGAAAGGCGUAAUCGAUGGGAAACGGGUUAAUAUUCCCGUACUUCUGACUAUUGCGAUGGGGGGACGGAGAAGGCUAGGUGGGCCAGGCGACGGUUGUCCUGGUUCAAGUGCGUAGGCUUGAGAGUUAGGUAAAUCCGGCUCUCUCUAAGGCUGAGACACGACGUCGAGCUGCUACGGCAGUGAAGUCAUUGAUGCCAUGCUUCCAGGAAAAGCCUCUAAGCUUCAGAUAGUCAGGAAUCGUACCCCAAACCGACACAGGUGGUCGGGUAGAGAAUACCAAGGCGCUUGAGAGAACUCGGGUGAAGGAACUAGGCAAAAUGGUACCGUAACUUCGGGAGAAGGUACGCUCUUGAUGGUGAAGUCCCUCGCGGAUGGAGCUGACGAGAGUCGCAGAUACCAGGUGGCUGCAACUGUUUAUUAAAAACACAGCACUGUGCAAAAUCGCAAGAUGACGUAUACGGUGUGACGCCUGCCCGGUGCCGGAA